UGUGAUUGUUAGUGAAAAGUAGUUUUGCCGGGUUUAUAUUUCGUUGGGGAGAUGUAGAUAUAAUAUGUAACUGUCUAUAUAAUUUAAUAAUUAUAAUUAGUAUUUGAUCCUUCUUUGGGGAUUAGGAGAAUAAGUUACUUUAGGGAUAACAGCGUGAUUUUCUUUGAGAGUUCUUAUCGACAAGAGUAGUUGCGACCUCGAUGUUGAAUUAAAAUUUCAGCUAGGUGUAGCCGUUUAGCUGGUGG
rnacentral:rRNA from 1 species